rnacentral:lncRNA from 1 species
AACUUCUUUCAGUGAUUAGUGCGCCAAAUCGCGGCUUCAGUCCACUUGAUUAACCAGGUAGCAUCUCCUGUUCUGUUGUCACAAGUAAGAAGCCGAGAGUCCGAUUCUCUUAUUAUGAUGAAAUUGAUCAUAGUUGAAUUUUUUUACUUUGACCUCGAUCAUCAUGUACUGAUUUAGGUUGAGUCUAGUUAUAGAUUUGAAUUCGAAAUGGCUAUGAUCUGUUCCACAACCGAUUGACCAUAAUCUGUUUGAUGAAAUGUGUCUGAGACCUUGUUGCGAAUUGAUUCCAGCACGUCCGACUUGAAAGCACAUUAAUGAUCUUCACUUAAUAUUGUUUGAUUUUUUAAUCUUCAAACAUGAUUACGAGUAUAUGCCAUAGUUGCCAAGAAAGAAACUUACUCUCCGUUUGUUUUCUCAGUGGUUCCUGGGAUUCUUUGGUGAUUGGUGGUGGUCGGCAAGAUGAGAAGGCUUGGAGUCACUGGCACACGCAUGAUCUUUGGUGAUGAUCAUAGUAUGCCCUGUCGAACAGAAUUGAGAUGACUUCACCGAGCGUGAAGGCUUGGAGUCGCUGGCACACGCAUGAUCUUUGGUGAUGAUCAUAGUAAGCCCUGUCGAACAGAAUUGAGAUGAUGUCGCUGAGCGUGAAUCA